UCUAUAUGCGGAUAAAAACGCUUUCUCUACCUCCGUGUUCAUCUCUACAGUUGUUUUGGAGGAAAUGAUACACGUAUUUGAGAUAUUCCGCAGUAAUUCUCGUCUUUAGGACCCAGCAGAGACAUCAAACCGGAGUCGCGUCCAGUCUUGUUGAAGAGGGCGCUGAAUGGAUCGCAACGUGAGAAAGUUAUCCUGGACGAGCAGAGCAGAAGCUUGCAACAUCAUCUUUUAUCAGAAGAGGAUUCAUUAUCCAUUUCAAGGUUGCUCUGGACAGAGCGAGCUUUAAUCCUCCUUGAUAAUCUUGUAGAGAAAGGU